AGUACACUAACUUCAUUUUCUAGGAUGAUUUCAGUUUCAGACCCCUGAAUUGCUGUAAAGCCACCAUGAAAGAAGACCCUAACCAGAUGUGUACCCUGGACUUUGGACUUCCGAGCCCCAGAAACUGUACAGGAUGCCUUCAAAAAGAAGGAAAACUGGUAGAACCUUUGAUUGAAAACCUAAGAACAGUCUAAAAAGAAAAAAAGAAAAGAAACAGCCACAACAACAGAACUGUCUAAGAAUACCAAAGUUUAAAUCCACGGACAAUGAAACAUGGAAGUCUGACUGGAAUAAACUGAUCACAUGAGAAGGACAUGCUACCAUAUGAGUGGAUUAGAAAUAAUUAGGAUGACUCAUAGGAAAGCAAGUCAAAGUUCCUGGAAAAAAUAUAGGAAAUGGAGCCAGUGUUUCUGGCUGACCUGAAUGCAUAAUGCUUCAUUAAUUUUUGCUGAUAUAUUCUUUCCCCCACAGUCUGGCUCUCUGGGUCUUCAGCUUACCAACUAUGUGAUCUUGAGGAACUCAGAUUCUUUGUGUCUCAAAUUUCUCAUGUGUAAAAUGGAAGGAAAAUGCCUGUUCUGCUCACCUCAUAGGUUUGUUUUGACUUUCAAAAAAGAGGGACUGUGUGACAGCAUAGUUUUGGCCUGGUCAUUCAUCUCAAUGAGUAAGUGAGGAUAAAGAAGAAAUGCUGAUGUGUGGCUAUUUGUCAUGUAUUGACUAGCAUAACACUUUAGAUCAUAUAAUCAUACUUGAACUAGUCACUUUGUGUUUUCAAGUGGAAAAUUAAGAAUGACCUAAAAUAUUAGUGAAGGUUUCCUUAUCAGAAUUCUGAAGCUAUUUUACUGCACUAGUAAAAUGCAGUUUUGCAGAUAAUUACAGUUUAUAUUUGGAGAUGAGAAUUCAUCACAUGAGUAGUUUUCCAGAAUUCAUAUCACACACAAAGUACCAAAAUUACAUAACGCUUUAAAGUAAAAUAAAUGGCUGACCUAAAUCAAUUUGU